rnacentral:lncRNA from 1 species
GCCUGGCCCAGCAACACUUUCUUAACCUAACUGUUUCCUUUACAAAAGUCUCUGAAACAGAACAAUAUAUUUUAAUUGUACGCAAUUCUCCCCAUGUUAUAUUUCAUAAUUUUCAGGGAUUUUUUUUUAAUCCCACGAUUCCAAAUCUCUGUUCCUCAAAUGACGUGGCUCUCCAGGGGGCGGUGGGCAAAAGUUCUGAGCCCUGGCAUGGAGCCCUGGCACAGAGACCUGGUGCACGGUGCACCAGGAACCCACAGGAGAAUUUGGGAUCUGAAACAGCAAAUACAAUUUGAUUUUCCCAGAAGUGAGCAAAUGUGCUGUGACUCUGUGUGACCACAGUGGGCUGAAGUGACAAGUUCAAGGGUAGGUGAUGUUCAGAGUAGAGGCCACAAGCCAGCGCCUCCCCGCCCCCACCCCACCUCCUGCAGAGCGUGACGCCAGUAAGAGUGGUCAUCUAUUUCUCUUCCCACCAGCCACCCCAGAGCCUGGCUCUCCCUGGGAGGAGAUGCAACCUCAACAAUCCUGGGCCAGUCCCAUUCUUUUUGGAUGUGGAAAUUGAGCCUGCCCAGGAUUGCUUGGCUGAGAGGCUGCCGUGUUGGGAUUUGCUCCUGACUUGCAACCACCUGACUCCACAGGGAUGAGGCAGUAGAGACAGCCCUGCCCCAUCCUCAGUAUCCUGGGAAUGUGUUGGAGGGUAUGGGUGGCCCCGACUGGGACACUGGGAUGACGGUUGGAAACAAGGGAGAUCUAGUCCUGAACCCAGAUGCCCCAUGCAUCUUCACGGAACCGAUGGGAGAAGCAAAAUCCACUUUUAGAGAUAUCUAAUCUGUGAAGAAGUCACACUUUCAUUCUCAGGGAGAUUCUGAUCUGAUGGAGGAGGAAGAAUGCAAUUCAAACCCUCAAGGAACUCUUACACUGAUGGGAAACAUGUCCCCACCUUGGGGGCCUCCAAGUCUGAUGGCAGAGGUCUUCCUCCCAUCCUUGGGAAGCUCUAGUCCAAUGAGGGAGGCACUCCCCCACCAUGUCAGUGCCUUCCUUCCCGUACCUUCUCCCUGCCCUCUGGCUGCCCGAAUGAGCAGGGCAGGGGGCUUCCCCUCCCCACCUCCCUGGUGAAUCCUAGAAUCAGGGAACUUCUGCAGGAGGACACCACGGUUCCCCAGCCCUGGGACUUCCCUUUCUCCGUCAGCCCAAACCCAGGGCCUCACUGGGGGGGCCAGACAUGCCUGCCCUGCUGAUCAUGGCUCACCUAUCACCCCAGCCCCCAUGACAUCACCUGGUUAUUGCAUGUCCACAGCAUCCCAGGCUCCGCGGGGACUUUCCAUGCUUGACCUCGCCAGUGCCCUACCCUGAGAGGGAGGAGUCUGUCCCCACUUUACAAACAAAGCUUAGAGGGCAUGGCACUCUUGCCAGAGACCACACAGCCAGAAACUGGCAGAGUGGGGAACAGACCAAGUGGGUCUGACUCCAGAGCCCCAGCUCCUUAGGAAUGAGGAUGAGGAUGAUGUACGUAUACAGUCCUCAUUUUCUGCCAGGCAAUCCUGCCAAGGGCUAUAUUGCUGACUCACUAGCUCUUCUCGGCCAUGGUGUUAUUAUUCUCAUUGUCAUUAUUCUGUAACUCAGACAGGGAAACUGAGGCCCAAAGAGAUAGAUGAGUAUGUAGCAGAGCCAAUACUCAGUCAGGUUGUCUGACUCCAGUGCCAUCAUCACAGCUCAGCUCCCCCAGAAGACAGAUGAUUAUACGGAAUUGGGCAUGCGAAAGAUUUAUGGACCAGCCUGGGAAACGUAGCAAAAUCCCAUUUCUGCAGAAAUUUUCGAAAUUAGCCAGGCAUGGCUUGGUGCGGUGGCUCACGCCUGUAAUCCCAGCACUUUGGGAGGCUGAGGCUGGCAGAUCACCUGAGGUCAGGAGUUUGAGACCAGCCUGACCAACAUCGAGAAACCCCGUCUCUACUAAAAAUACAAAAUUAGCCAGGCGUGGUGGCACAUGCCUGUAAUCCCAGCUACUCGGGAGGCUGAGGCAGGAGAAUCGCUUGAACCCAGGAAGCAGAGGUUGCGGUGAGCUGAGAUCCCGCCAUUGCACUCCAGCCUGGGCAACAAGAGCGAAACUCCGUCUCAAAAAACAAAAAGAAAAAGAAAUUAGCCAGGCAUGAUGACACACACUUAUAGUCCCAGCUACUCAGGAGGCCGAGGUGGGAGGAUC